rnacentral:rRNA from 1 species
UACGGAGGAUGCGAGCGUUAUCCGGAUUUAUUGGGUUUAAAGGGUGCGUAGGCGGUCCGGAAAGUCAGCGGUAAAAGCCCGGGGCUCAACCCCGGCGAGCCGUUGAAACUGUCGGACUAGAGACGGCGAGAGGUACGCGGAAUGCGCGGUGUAGCGGUGAAAUGCAUAGAUAUCGCGCAGAACUCCGAUUGCGAAGGCAGCGUACCGGCGCCGGACUGACGCUGAGGCACGAAAGCGUGGGUAUCGAACAGG